rnacentral:rRNA from 1 species
AGAGUUUGAUUAUGGCUCAGGACGAACGCUGGCGGCGUGCUUAACACAUGCAAGUCGAACGAAAAGACGGAAAGAGCUUGCUCUUUUCAGAAUUGAGUGGCAAACGGGUGAGUAACACGUAAACAACCUGCCUUCAGGAUGGGGACAACAGACGGAAACGACUGCUAAUACCGAAUAAGUUCCAAGAGCCGCAUGGCCCAUGGAAGAAAAGGUGGCCUCUACCUGUAAGCUAUCGCCUGAAGAGGGGUUUGCGUCUGAUUAGCUGGUUGGAGGGGUAACGGCCCACCAAGGCGACGAUCAGUAGCCGGUCUGAGAGGAUGAACGGCCACACUGGAACUGAGACACGGUCCAG